UUUUGAUUGAGUUAUUGAUAUAACAAAAACAAUAAAUGAAGCAAUGUAUACAUUUAUACAAAACUUCUAUCCUGAGCACACGUAAUAGAACCAUAGAUAGUGAAGUGAAAUCCAAUCCACAAAAUAAUUUGAUCUCUGGAUAGCAUCAUUGGGGAUAAAGAUCGUAAUGCUAGAGGAAUCGUUCCCUCAAGCAUAGAGGGGGAGGUCAUAAAUGUCUACACUGUAAAAUCAUUUUUGACAAAUAAAAAAGACUUAUAUGGUUGAAUCGUAACCGUAGGAUACAACCCCAAUUGAAAUGCAUACAUUUGUCUCAUACACUACGGUAAUGGUGCGAAGAGAUAUAUUUUAUAUCUUAGAGGGGUUAUAAUUGGAGAUACCAUUAUUUCUUGCAUAGAAGUUUCUAUAAAAUGGGAAAUACCCUACCUUUUAGUGCGGUUUGAACUAAUGAUUUACGAAUUAAAAGUAACCAAUUAGGUUUAUCAUAAAACCUAAAAAUCGAUCAUUAAUCUAGUAUGAGUACCUCUAUAGGAUAGACCACAAUAAAAAACUGAAGAGUAACGUCAAUAAGUGAUUGAGUUCAAUAGUUACUCAUAUAACAUUAUUGACUCGAGUUAAAGUAAUAUGGAGAACAAACAAUUGUUUCAAGCACCGAUAGAAUCAGAUGCGCCCCCCUUCUUUCAAACCUUCAAAUAUGAGUUAUUCACAUGUCAUUGA
rnacentral:lncRNA from 1 species